GGAAGCUUAGUGUAGUGGUUAUCACGGCUGGGUCAUCGUACAGUGUCUCAGCAGACCUCGGUUCAAUUCCAGGAGCUCUCA
rnacentral:tRNA from 1 species